CCAGACUCCUACGGGAGGCAGCAGUGAGGAAUAUUGGUCAAUGGCCGGAAGGCUGAACCAGCCAAGCCGCGUGAAGGACGAAGGUGCCAAGCAUUGUAAACUUCUUUUGUCAAGGGACAAAAUCAGGCUCGAGAGCCUGACCGAGGGUACUUGAAGAAAAAGCAUCGGCUAACUCCGUGCCAGCAGCCGCGGUAAUACGGAGGAUGCGAGCGUUAUCCGGAUUUAUUGGGUUUAAAGGGUGCGUAGGCGGGCUGUUAAGUCGGGGGUAAAAGCCCGGGGCUCACCCCCGGCCUGCCGUUGAAGCUGGCGGCCUCGAGUGGGCGAGAAGUAUGCGGAAUGCGUGGUGUAGCGGUGAAAUGCAUAGAUAUCACGCAGAACUCCGAUUGCGAAGGCAGCACACCGGCGCCCUACUGACGCUGAGGCACGAAAGCGUGGGUAUCGAACAGGAUUAGAUACCCGAGUA
rnacentral:rRNA from 1 species